rnacentral:rRNA from 1 species
GACGAACGCUGGCGGCGUGCUUAACACAUGCAAGUCGAACGGAAAGGCCCUGCUUUUGUGGGGUGCUCGAGUGGCGAACGGGUGAGUAACACGUGAGUAACCUGCCCUUGACUUCGGGAUAACUUCAGGAAACUGGGGCUGAUACCGGAUAGGAGCUCCUGCUGCAUGGUGGGGGUUGGAAAGUUUCGGCGGUUGGGGAUGGACUCGCGGCUUAUCAGCUUGUUGGUGGGGUAGUGGCUUACCAAGGCUUUGACGGGUAGCCGGCCUGAGAGGGUGACCGGCCACAUUGGGACUGAGAUACGGCCCAGACUCCUACGGGAGGCAGCAGUGGGGAAUAUUGCACAAUGGGCGGAAGCCUGAUGCAGCAACGCCGCGUGCGGGAUGACGGCCUUCGGGUUGUAAACCGCUUUCGCCUGUGACGAAGCGUGAGUGACGGUAAUGGGUAAAGAAGCACCGGCUAACUACGUG